GAGCUGAUCAAGGCGCUCAUGCAACAGGCAACAGAGGCCAAGGAGGUCAGACAGGCCAUGAUACAGCCCCAGACACCACAAGAGAGGGCUGUUGACACCUUCCAGGGAUUCUUAAAGACUGAGCUGCUCAAGGUACCAGAGAACGUGUGGUUCAACUACACACUGGCUACCAUGAUGAUGGCCUAUAACUUCUCCCAGCCGCAGUAGAUGGGACACAUGGGACAGCAACAGAUGGGACAGCCACAGAUGGGACUACCUCAACAGAUGCCACUUAUGGGACCACCACAUCAGCAGGCUCACCAGCCAAAGUCACUGAUGGGACCACCACAGAUGCCACCACCAAUGAUGUCAUGCUCACCAAUGGCCACCUCACCCAUGGGCAGGUCACCCAGUUCCACAGGACAGCAGCAGCCCUACUCACAGCAGCAGUACUCACAGAAACAGCAGCUUCUACUGAAAAUAGUAGCUUCUCUGCAUUCUCAGCUGCAUUCACAGACUACCCCAGCCUUGACACACCCAGAUCUGCACCAGUGCCACCAGGGGGUGCCCCAGAAACAGAGACCCAGGACGCAAGUGGGGAAUUGAGUUUUGCAGGACACAGAUCACCCAUCGAUGUA